AUGGAAACACAAGCGACUCUAGCAAUUCCAGAUGAAGAUAACAGCAUGGUCGUAUACAUUUCAUCACAGUACCCUGAGGUUGCACAGAGUGCAAUAGCCAAGUGCCUCGGCAUUCCGUUCAGCAGCGUGCGUGUCAUUACAAGGAGGGUUGGAGGAGGCUUUGGUGGGAAGGCAUUCAGAUCAUGCAAUGUAGCCACGGCAGCUGCACUCUGUGCAUUCAAGUUACGUCGUCCAGUGCGGAUGUAUCUCAACCGCAGUACUGACAUGAUCAUGAUCGGGGGUCGUCACCCCAUAAAAGCAUAUUACUCUGUUGGUUUCAGGUCUGAUUGGAGAAUCACAACCUUGCAUCUGGACAUACUAAUCGAUGCUGGAAUUUCUCCAGAUGCUAGCCCCAUAAUGCCAGACACCAUCAUUUCAGGUCUGAAGAAAUACAACUGGGGUGCUCUCUCGUUCGACAUCAAGCUCUGCAAAACAAACAACACAUCCAAGUCAGUAAUGCGUGCUCCUGGAGACGCUCAAGGAUCUUUUAUCGCUGAAGCUAUCAUUGAGCAUGUCGCUUCGGUGUUGUCACUCGAUGCUAAUAGUGUCAGGAAGAAGAAUUUCCACACCUAUGACAGUCUUGUGCUGUUCUAUCCAGAAAGCACAGGCGAAGCUUCUGCGUACACAUUGCAUUCUAUCUUUGAUAGGUUACUCAUGACAUCGAGCUACCUGCAUCGAGCCGGAUCCAUCAGGCAGUUCAACAGCUGCACCAAGUGGCGAAAGCGGGGUAUCUCUUGUGUGCCCCUCGUCUUCAAGGUGGCACCAAGGCCAGCUCCUGGAAGAGUUUCUGUGCUCAACGAUGGUUCCAUUGUGGUUGAGGUUGGAGGCAUUGAGAUUGGGCAAGGGCUGUGGACCAAAGUACAGCAAAUGACAACUUUCGCUUUGGGACAGCUGUGGCCUGAUGGAUGUGAAUCCCUUCUUGAUAGAGUGCGUGUUCUUCAGGCUGAUACACUGAACUUGAUCCAAGGUGGGCUCACCGCCGGCAGCACUUCGUCUGAAUCUAGCUGUGCAGCAACCCUUGAGGCCUGCAACAUGCUGGUUGACAGAUUAAAGCCAGUCAUGGAGAAGCUCAAGCAGCAAUCCGGCGGUGCUGUUUCAUGGGAUGCUUUGAUUGCUCAGGCCAUUAAGGAUAAUGUUAAUUUGUCCUCAAGUGCAUACUGGGUACCUGGCCUAGAAUCCAGCACCUAUCUAAACUAUGGAGCUGCUAUAAGUGAGGUAGAGAUUGAUCUUCUUACAGGAGCUAUUACUUUACUACGGAGCGACCUUGUGUAUGACUGUGGAAAGAGUUUGAACCCUGCAGUGGACUUGGGCCAGAUUGAAGGCUCCUUCAUACAAGGAAUUGGUUUCUUCAUAAACGAAGAACACGAAACAAAUGCCGAUGGACUGGUUGUGAGCGACAGCACAUGGGUCUACAAGAUCCCGAGCGUGGACACCAUCCCGAAGCAGUUCAACGCUGAGGUGCUCAACAGUGGGUACCAUAAGAACCGUGUUCUUUCGUCAAAAGCCUCUGGGGAACCUGCCCUGGUUCUCGCAGCAUCGGUCCAUUGCGCGGUGAGAGAGGCCAUCCGAGCGGCGAGGAAGGAGUUUGGAAGCUCAGAGCUCAUCUUCCAGCUCGACGUCCCUGCGCCGAUGACCCAUGUGAAGGAAAUGUGUGGUUUGGACAUCGUGGAUAAGUGCCUAGAAAGCCUAUCUGAGCAUCAGUCUCGAGCUGCGGCAUGA
rnacentral:rRNA from 1 species